GGUGCAAGCGUUACUCGGAAUUACUGGGCGUAAAGGGUGUGUAGGUGGUUGUUUAAGUCUGUUGUGAAAGCCCCGGGCUCAACCUGGGAAUGGCAAUGGAUACUGGACAGCUAGAGUGCGGUAGAGGGUAGUGGAAUUCCCGGUGUAGCAGUGAAAUGCGUAGAUAUCGGAAGGAACAUCAGUGGCGAAAGCGACUUCCUGGACCAAUACUGACGCUCAUGUGCGAAAGCGUGGGGAGCAAACAGG
rnacentral:rRNA from 1 species